rnacentral:rRNA from 1 species
CCGUAAACGAUAACACUAGUUUCGGGGGAAUCGACCCCCUCGGUGUCGUANCCAACGCGUUAAGUGUUCCGCCUGGGGAGUACGCACGCAAGUGUGAAACUCAAANUGAAUUGACGNGGGCCCGCACAANCGGUGGAGUAUGUGGUUUAAUUCGAUGCAACGCGAAGAACCUUACCAGGGUUUGACAUCCUGCGAAUCUCUUGGAAACGAGAGAGUGCCUUCGGGAGCGCAGUGACAGGUGGUGCAUGGCUGUCGUCAGCUCGUGUCGUGAGAUGUUGGGUUAAGUCCCGCAACGAGCGCAACCCACGUCUUUAGUUGCCAGCAUUUAGUUGGGCACUCUAGAGAGACCGCCGGUGAUAAACCGGAGGAAGGUGUGGAUGACGUCAAGUCAUCAUGCCCCUUACAUCCUGGGCUACACACGUACUACAAUGCUACGGACAAAGAGCAGCAAGUUCGCGAGGACAAGCAAAUCUCAUAAACCGUGGCUCAGUUCAGAUCGUAGGCUGCAACUCGCCUACGUGAAGGAGGAAUCGCUAGUAAUCGCAGGUCAGCAUACUG